AACCAGCACUUUUCUGAUCUCACACAAUAACCUAAUCCAUUCUUCGACAGAGACUCUCUCUCUCUCUCCUCUCUCUUUCUCUCCUUUCAAAACCAUACCCAUCUAACGAUGGCAACAGCGAUCUUCUCCACUGUUCGACCAACAAUGAGCGACGAUCUACACUAAAAGGCGAUCGACCCAUUCUUUGAUAGAGACACACACACACACACACAGUCUCUCUCUCCCCCCCAAACCCUACCCAUCUUUUGACGGCUAUGGCGACGGCGACGGCGAUCUUCUCUAUCGUCCGACCAACAACGAGCGAUGAUCUACACUAAAAGGUGAUCGACGAUCGAGGUGGUGAGUUCUAAAAGUAGAGAGGUGGUGAGAUUCAGAGUGUGAGGGUUCUACACACAUAGAGAGAGGAAGCUUACAGUUCGAAAACCAGAGAGGUAGAAAAAAGCUCAUGUGUUUCUCAUGUCCCAUGAAUUGAAGGGCCAACGUCAAUGGCACCUGCUUCACUACAGUUGUAUAUUACAGGAGAGAUUGUUAAAUCAUGAGUCUCAUCCAGAUUCAUCUUCUUAAAUUGUUUAUUUUAUUUGAUAAGAUUUGUUUUUUUAAUAGUUGUAAAUGGUUAUUUUUCCAAACAAUACUUCUUGUUAGAAGGAAGAUAAUUGAUAAAAUAUUGUUGUUAUAUUUUGAAUAAA